rnacentral:sRNA from 1 species
AGCUCUCUCAUGCCGGUUGUU